rnacentral:misc_RNA from 1 species
GAAGAGGUUGAAGGGCAAACCCAAGUUUGAGCCAAUCCCAAAUCUAUUUAGUAUUUUAUACUUUGACACUUCUCACUCCAUUUCCAUAUAGCUCCUCUUUCUUACCCACACAGCAAGAAAAUGGAGCUCCAACCCAACCGAAAUGCCCAAACCUCUACUCCAGACCCAAUAUCAGACCUUGAUAACCCCAACAAUGGCUUUCCUUUCUCUGCCCAACAACCCCAUCUCUUUUCUGAUGAUUUUGACAGCACUUGUUCCACUCCUUAUGUUAGUGCUCCUUCUAGCCCCGGCCGUGGCCCUGCUUCCGGACCUAUUAAUGGUGGUUUCUUUUACAGUUGCCCUGCAAGCCCAAUGCACUUCGCUAUUACAUCUACUGCUGCUUCAUACUCUGCGUCAGCUGUUUCUUCACCGGAUAAUGGUAAUGGCGGCUCUGUGCCUGUUGGGUAUGAGUUUGAAUUCUCUGCAAGACUUGGGUCCAGUGGUUAUGGUCAAACUGGGUCUAUGAGUUCUGCUGAUGAGUUGUUUUUGAACGGCCAAAUCCGUCCCAUGAAGCUAUCGACACAUUUGGAGAGACCCCAAGUGUUGGCGCCGUUGUUGGAUCUUGAAAAUAAAGAGGAAGGGGAGGGUGAGGAGUAUGAUAUGGGUAUUAAGAAUGGUGGAAGAAUAGUUAGUGGCGGCGGGAGUACAAGAGGCAGAGAUCUGAGACUGCGUGAUAAAUCUUUACGUCGAAGAACCAGAUCUAUGUCUCCACUAAGAAGUAUUUCUUUGGAGUUCGUUAAUGAUGAUGAUGAAGAUGGCAAGAAGAAUGAGAUCUAUGGCUCCACUGAUGAGUCUUGUGAGGCUUCUUGUUUGGAAGCUAAUGGGAGUAUCAAGAUUGAAGAAGAAGCAGCAGCAACUCUAUCAGUUUCUGCAUCUUCUUCUAGGUCAUCUUCAGCUGGAAGGAACUCAAAAAGAUGGGUUUUUUUGAAAGAUUUUCUUUACAGAAGCAAAAGUGAAGGGAGGAGCAAUAAUAAGUUCUGGUCUAAUAUUUCUUUUUCACCAGCAAAGGAAAAGAAGUCCAUGAACACAGCGGCAGCAGCAGGUGUUCAAGUUCCUGCCACAACAAAAGAAAAGCUUGGAAAUGCCUCAAAUGAGAAUCAAAAAGUUAAGGGAAGUGGAAUAGCUUCAGGGAAGAAACCAAUGAAUGGGGUAGGGAAGAGAAGGGUACCAACAUCACCUCACGAGUUGCAUUAUAAGGCAAGUAAAGCACAGGCUGAGGAGAUGAAGAAGAAGACCUUUCUGCCUUAUAGACAAGGACUACUUGGGUGCUUAGGGUUUAGUUCAAAGGGUUAUGGAGCCAUGAAUGGAUUUGCUAGAGCUCUGAAUCCAGUAUCCUCAAGGUAAAAUCUAUGAGUCUAAAGGAAUUGUAUAGAUCUUAUUAUCAUUAUUUUUUUAAUAUUUUUCUUUGUGUAGUUUAAUGAUGAUAUAUGUAUUUAUUAUUGGGUCUGGUCUUGUUCUUCUCUCUUUGUUAAAAAGAGAAGUUCCUGAUCCUUGUAUUUUGUACCCUCUCAUAGUCAUAGGGUUGUAUUAACUGUAAGCCAUGAGAAAGCUCAAUCUAUUACUUCUGGUUGAGUAAACAACUUGGGAUCAUAAUGAAAUAGUGGCCUAAUUGGAUUAUUGAACCAAUAAUACAAUACACAUGGUGCAGAGGCAUAACUCUGUUAUGUUAGGUAGUGGAGGUCCCAUAUUACCCAUAGUAUCCAUGAGGCUGCCCCCAUACUGACCUACA